GCCCAACUAUUCACAUGGGAGAUAACUCUAGAAUACCGGAAGUUGUGAUUUGAGCCAAAUAUCUCGUGAAAUUCGUGUAGCAAAGUUGGAAAAUAAUUUGCAAGUGAAGAAAGACAUAUCAUAAUAAGGACUGUAUACAGACAUUUGAAAUCAUCAUCAAACCAGACUUUUUUGCAGUUUGAUAGCAUCUUCACAUCAGUUUGAGGUUUGAGUUACUUCAGAAAUUGUUUACAAAAAAUUGGAAGAGUUUGGCAGAUAUUCAACAUAUUCAUUUAAAUUUGAGAUCAAAUACUAGGAUGAUGAAAUGAGUGAAAAUGAAGAUCUGUAUGAGUUAAACAUAGAAGAAUUUUCCAAAGAUUAUAGAGAAGGAAACCUAUAUUUCAAUGAUCAAUAAAAGUAUUUUGAAUGUGUGGCAGUUAUAGUAUUUUAUGAAACAGACUAUAGUUUUUUUGAAGGUA